GAUGAACGCUGGCGGCGUGCCUAAGACAUGCAAGUCGAGUGGGUUUAGGCCCACGGCAAACGGGUGAGUAAUAUCUAGGAGCGUACCCUGAGUUGAGCAUAACCUACCGAAAGGUAGAGCAAUUCUCAAUGUGGCAGCAAUGCUAAAGUCGCAAGACGCUCAGGAAGCGGCCUGGACACCAUCAGCUAGUUGGUAAGGUAAAAGCUUACCAAGGCUUUGACGGUUAGGGGCCCGAGA
rnacentral:rRNA from 1 species